AUUCUCUUAAUAAAGAAUGAUAUUUCUUAUAUUACAGGAAAUAAAGGUUUUGCUAUUAUCAUUGUUCUCUAUAAAGGACUUGAAAAAAGUAUCUCUCAUCCUAGGGAUAAAGAUCUAUAGAGAUAGAUUUAAGAGGCUGCUUGGGUUAUCCCAAUCCAACAUACAUAGGGGUGAUAUCGGAUAUGGUAUACUCACUAGG
rnacentral:lncRNA from 1 species